CACAUUUGAAUUUCAAAUUUCAAAAUUCUUUUCUAUAAGAUUCAAUACUUUUACAAAUCUGUUCUUUCAUUUUUCUCCUCUCUCACUUUCUUAUUUUGCAGCAAAUGUAAAGGAAAUGUAAGAUCAUUCAACAUGCCAUGUUCUAUAUCCAAGCUAUUGAUGUUGCGGUUGUCUCCAAAAAAAGUUGCUCCGGUCGUAAUUUUCUGUUGUGGAUGUUUAGGGUAAGCAAAAUAUCACUUUGAUUUUUGCAGAGGAGUCUGACGGUGGCUGCAGAAUCGGAGAGAAAUUGGACUCAAUAUUCAUACUUUCCUCGAUCUCAAAAUAAUGGUGGCUUUAUUUAUAUGUACAGUGGUCCGAGUUAGUUGCAGAUGAAGGUAGAAGGAGGUUUUCAUGGUUUGUGGGGGCAGAUAAGAAGAAGAUACGGCGGAGAGAGAGAGAAGAAUUUCUUCAGUCUUUGGUUAAUGGGAAAUGAAAAUUAGGGUUUGUUAUGGAAAGUUAUCUAUUGGGCUUUUUUCAGAAAUGUGUUGGACUUCGACUAUUUUUUACACGGUUUGGGCCUAACCAUGACAAUUAUUCUAUUUUUUAAA